AGUGAACGCUGGCGGUAGGCCUAACACAUGCAAGUCGAACGGCAGCACAGUAAGAGCUUGCUCUUACGGGUGGCGAGUGGCGGACGGGUGAGGAAUACAUCGGAAUCUACUUUUUCGUGGGGGAUAACGUAGGGAAACUUACGCUAAUACCGCAUACGACCUACGGGUGAAAGCAGGGGAUCUUCGGACCUUGCGCGAUUGAAUGAGCCGAUGUCGGAUUAGCUAGUUGGCGGGGUAAAGGCCCACCAAGGCGACGAUCCGUAGCUGGUCUGAGAGGAUGAUCCAGCCACAUGGAAAUGAGGACACGGCCCAAACCCCACGGGAGGGCAGAGGGGGGAAAUAUGGAACAAGGGGGGAAGGCCGAAUCAGCCCAUACCGCGUGGUGAAGGAAGGCCUUCGGGUUGAAAGGCCCUUUUGUUGGAAAGAAAAGCAGCAGGUUAAUACCCCGCUGUCCUGACGGUACCCAAAGAAUAAGCACCGGCUAACUUCGU
rnacentral:rRNA from 1 species